rnacentral:rRNA from 1 species
GAUGAACGCUGGCGGCGUGCUUAACACAUGCAAGUCGAACGAAGCACUUUAUUUGAUUUCCUUCGGGACUGAUUAUUUUGUGACUGAGUGGCGGACGGGUGAGUAACGCGUGGGUAACCUGCCUUGUACAGGGGGAUAACAGUUGGAAACGGCUGCUAAUACCGCAUAAGCGCACGGCAUCGCAUGAUGCAGUGUGAAAAACUCCGGUGGUAUAAGAUGGACCCGCGUUGGAUUAGCUAGUUGGUGAGGUAACGGCCCACCAAGGCGACGAUCCAUAGCCGAGCUGAGAGGGUGACCGGCCACAUUGGGACUGAGACACGGCCCAGACUCCUACGGGAGGCAGCAGUGGGGAAUAUUGCACAAUGGGCGAAAGCCUGAUGCAGCGACGCCGCGUGAGCGAAGAAGUAGUUCGGUAUGUAAAGCUCUAUCAGCAGGGAAGAUAAUGACGGUACCUGACGAAGAAGCACCGGCUAAAUACGUG